CUCUGUGUCUAUCACCCUAUACAUCUACCAGUCUCCUGAAAGGCUGGGGGCUUCACACCACCAGCCUGGCUAUAGAAAUGGCUGAGAGGGUCCCCCCUUGGUGCUUCAGCCCGUAGCUACCUUCCCCACAUGCCUGAGUCUAACUUGGCAAAUGUUCUAUGCCAGGCUCAUACACUGUCCCAUUUUGUCCCCACAACAACCUUGUUACCUUCCCACUUCACAAAAGACACCUCAGAGACCCAGAGAAGACAAGAGGCUUGCCCCGGCUCACACAGUUGCUAUGGAGAGAACCAAAUUCACUCAGUGUUUUAGGUUCAAGCCCAUCUCUCUUUCCAUUACAGAACUGUCUCUGAUUUGUUUCCAGACAUCCCAUUCUCCUAGCACGAUGAUCCUCAACUUGGUCCCACAAGAUAUGGGGAGCUUCUAAAGCACACUGAUGCCUGAGCCCCACGCCCAGAGAUGCAGACUGAAUUGGUCUCAGGUCACACAGCUGGGAUGGAACCCACGUCCUCCUGACACCGCUGCUUGCGUCCUGACUCACGUCCUGUCUGUGGCCUAUAGACAGCCACUGACCCCGAGGAGGGGCCCUGCCUCGUCCUACCCACCCCACAUCUGACACAUAGUUGCUGCUUAAUAAAGACUGGAGUGUGGGUUU